UAAUAUCUUCAGGGCAGGGUGUAAUUCCCUACCGGUGGUAAAGCCCACGAACCUUUUGGUAUGAUUCGGUGAAAUUCCGAAGCCGACAGUAAAGUCUGGAUGAAAGAAGAUGUAU
rnacentral:ncRNA from 2 species